rnacentral:rRNA from 1 species
GACGAACGCUGGCGGCGUGCUUAACACAUGCAAGUCGGACGGUAAGGCCCUUCGGGGUACACGAGUGGCGAACGGGUGAGUAACACGUGGGUGAUCUGCCCUGCACUUCGGGAUAAGCCUGGGAAACUGGGUCUAAUACCGGAUAGGACCACUGCCUGCAUGGGUGGUGGUGGAAAGCUGUUGCGGUGUGGGAUGGGCCCGCGGCCUAUCAGCUUGUUGGUGGGGUGAUGGCCUACCAAGGCGACGACGGGUAGCCGGCCUGAGAGGGUGACCGGCCACACUGGGACUGAGAUACGGCCCAGACUCCUACGGGAGGCAGCAGUGGGGAAUAUUGCACAAUGGGCGCAAGCCUGAUGCAGCGACGCCGCGUGAGGGAUGACGGCCUUCGGGUUGUAAACCUCUUUCAGCACCGACGAAGCGCAAGUGACGGUAGGUGCAGAAGAAGGACCAGCCAACUACGUGCCAGCAGCCGCAGUAA